AUGCUUGCUUCGGCAGCACAUAUAUUAAAAUUGGAAGUAUACAGAGAAGAUAGCAUGGCCCUGCUCAAAUAAAAAAAGAAUCUGAGAAUAAACCAUUAAAUUAUU
rnacentral:snRNA from 1 species